CCUCUGGGUCCCAUCCAGGAUUAGUGGCAGUGGAUCUGGGACAAAUUAUUCUCUCACCAUCAGCAGCAUGGAGGCUGAAGAUGC